GACGUAGGGCGCGAGCGUUGUCCGGAUUUAUUGGGCGUAAAGAGCGUGUAGGCGGCCAGAUAGGUCUGCUGUGAAAACUCGAGGCUCAACCUCGAGCUGUCGGCGGAAACCAUCUGGCUAGAGUCCGGAAGAGGAGAGUGGAAUUCCCGGUGUAGCGGUGAAAUGCGCAGAUAUCGGGAAGAACACCGGUGGCGAAGGCGGCUCUCUGGACCUAUCCUGACGCUCAGGCGCGAAAAGCUAGGGGAGCAAACGGGG
rnacentral:rRNA from 1 species